rnacentral:rRNA from 1 species
GACAAACGCUGGCGGCGUACUUAAGACAUGCAAGUCGAACGGGUGUCCUGCUUUCGGGUGGGAUGCUAGUGGCGGAUGGGUGAGUAACGCGUAGGAACCUGUCGUUAAGUGGGGGAUACCGCUGGGAAACCGGCGCUAAUACCGCAUGUGGUCGAGCGAUCGAAGAAAGCAGCAAUGCGCUUGAUGAGGGGCCUGCGUCCGAUUAGCUAGUUGGUGGGGUAAAGGCCUACCAAGGCGCGAUCGGUAGCUGGUCUGAGAGGAUGGUCAGCCACACUGGGACUGAGACACGGCCCAGACUCCUACGGGAGGCAGCAGUUAGGAAAUUUUCACAAUGGGCGAAAGCCUGAUGGAGUAACGCCGCGUGGAGGAUGAC